AAAAAUGCCCAGUUUUGAACUAAUGCCAGUAGUGUUUGCGAUCUGGUUGAAUAAAUAUAAAAAUGAAAGUCCUUUUUAUUUUAUUGGUGGCUACCACCAUGUUAGCCAUAAAUCAAGCUGCAGAGCCAGACUGCGUGUGCUGGGAAGGGUUCAAUGUGGAAAAAGAGGGCAAUGACGUCUUCUGCAAAGGCGUAAAAAAUAAUAGAAAUUAUCCUUGUGGCACUGAAAAACCACCAAUUUGCACCUGUAUUGAAAAGGGAUCUGGCAAGGAAGUGACUUUGGAUCUUGGAGAAACGCAUUGUAUUGGAGAGGCUGGAAAAUACGAGGAUCUG